rnacentral:rRNA from 1 species
UAAACGCUGGCGGCGCACAUAAGACAUGCAAGUUGAACGGACUUAAUCGAAAUAUUUAUAUUUUGAAGCGGUUAGUGGCGGACUGGUGAGUAACGCGUAAGGAACCUGCCUAUUAGAGGGGAAUAACAGUGAGAAAUCAUUGCUAAUACCGCAUAUGCCAUAGAUAUCACAUGAUAACAGUGGGAAAGGAGCAAUCCGCUAAUAGAUGGCCUUGCGUCUGAUUAGAUAGUUGGUGGGGUAACGGCCUACCAAGUCGACGAUCAGUAGCCGGACUGAGAGGUUGACCGGCCACAUUGGGACUGAGAUACGGCCCAGACUCCUACGGGAGGCAGCAGUCGGGAAUAUUGCGCAAUGGAGGAAACUCUGACGCAGUGACGCCGCGUAUAGGAAGAAGGUUUUCGGAUUGUAAACUAUUGUCGUUAGGGAAGAGAAAGGACAGUACCUAAGGAGGAAGCUCCGGCUAACUACGUG